GUAUAGGGGGUGAAUUCUGCCCAAUGGUUGUAUCGUGAAACCGAGGAUUAACGUCCAAGGCUAAGCCCAACUGAAUGGCCGCGGUAUACCUGACCGUGAUAAUGUAGCACAAUCAAUAGCCAAUUAAUUGUUGGCGGGUAUGAAUGGAAUCACGAGGGUCUUACUGUCUCAAGAGGAAAGCUAAUGAAAUUAUAGUUGUAGUGAAGAUACUACAUACACAUUGUAAGACGAGAAGACCCUAUCGAGCUUUACUGGACACCGACAAUGUUGGCGAGAGACGACCAGCCCCUAGGGGUUAUAAUCUUUCGCUUGACCCCUAGUCGGUCGGACAGUUUAGUUGGGGCGACUACCUUUGAAUAAGAAACGAAGGCGAGCUUAUGGUGUACAGCUAAUCUCGUUAGCCUGACAGUGAGGGGGACACCCCUAGCUGGCACCCCUUUGGGGCUCCAACAGGCACCCCUUCGGGGUGGGCGAUAAUGACCCGAUACCAGAUCUAUAAGUUGGUAUCGAAAGCGGACAAAAGCUACCGUAGGGAUAACAGCGUAAUAUUAUUGGAGAGCUCGUAUCGAGGAUAGUGUUUGCGACCUCGAUGUUGAAUUGCGAUGUCCUGGUGCUGUAGAAGGUACCUAGGGUUGGUC
rnacentral:rRNA from 1 species